rnacentral:rRNA from 1 species
GACGAACCGUGCGAACGUUGUUCGGAUUCACUGGGCUUAAAGGGCGCGUAGGCGGCAGGUCAAGUCCGGGGUGAAAGCCUUCAGCUCAACUGGAGAAGUGCCUUGGAUACUGGUCUGCUCGAGGGAGGUAGGGGCAUGUGGAACUUCCGGUGGAGCGGUGAAAUGCGUAGAUAUCGGAAGGAACGCCGGUGGCGAAAGCGACGUGCUGGACCUCUUCUGACGCUGAGGCGCGAAAGCUAGGGGAGCAAACGGG